GGAGAAACCUCACGAAAAACAGCUCGUUCAAGUGAAUCAUAAUUUUCCAUUAAAAAAAAUAAUUUUCUUUCGCCUCGGAAUGAUGCAACGUUGUUACGGUCGGUCUCACACAUGACCCUCGACAAGUUAUGGAACUCUAUUAUAGUAAAAUUCAACGUUGGCAGUAGAAACGGGUCUCUCGUGGACAUUGGACAUUUCAGGAACUACGUGCUGGCAAAUAAAGUGUCAAUGGAGGAACAAUUCUCUCGAGAACUUUUAUUUCGUGUACUUUUCUAAUAAAUAAAUUUACGAACUGUC